UCUACCCCUAAGGUAGGCAUUGCAGAUGUGGCUCCUGUGUGUCAUGUGCUUCAUUAGGCGGCAGAGAGGAGAGAGGCUCUGUCUAAGCUCAAUGUUCUGAUCUGUGAAUAUAUGAAUGAAUAGUAGCUUAACAUU